GUGUACGUGCCGGAGUGGUUAUCGGGCAUGACUAGAACUCAUAUGGGCUUUGCCUGCGCAGGUUCGAAUCCUGUCGUUCACG
rfam:Brassica napus, WGS project CCCW01000000 data, contig: 25643